GCGCCGCGCCGGGAGCGGCGGCCGCCCCGGUAGCAUGGGCGAGAGCACGAGCCCCAUCAGCGUCAUCCUGGUGAGCUCGGGCAGCCGCGGCAACAAGCUGCUGUUCCGCUUCCCCUUCCAGCGCGGCGCCGAGCACCCCGCUGCCCAGGCCAGUAAACCAAGAAGUCGAUAUGCUGUGAAUAGCUCAAGUGACACCACAGAGGAUCAAGAUGGGGACUCCAGAGACCAAUGUCCUCUAACUGAUGAGCAAUUGGUUUCGGGGUUUUCAGAUGUCAUCCUGGCAACAAUUUUGGCUACCAAAUCUGAUAUGUGUGGCAAAAAAUUUGAACUGAAGAUUGAUAAUGUGCGCUUCGUUGGCCAUCCUACAUUGCUUCAACAUGCCCUUGGGCAGGUAUCCAAAACUGAUCCCUCACCAAAGAGAGAGAUGCCCACUAUGAUUCUGUUCAACGUGGUGUUUGCCCUACGGGCCAACGCAGAUCCAUCAGUGAUAAACUGCUUACACAAUCUCUCCCGGCGGAUUGCCAUCGUCUUACAGCAUGAGGAGCGCCGUUGCCAGUACCUGACCAGGGAGGCCAAGCUGAUCUUAGCCAUUCAGGAUGAAGUGUCUGCAAUGCAAGAAACCACAGAAGGGCCACAAUCCCCUUUUCAUCACAUCCUGCCAAAGUGCAAACUAGCCAGAGAUCUCAAGGAGACUUACGACAGUCUCUGUACAACAGGAGUUGUCCGUUUACAUAUCAACAACUGGCUGGAAGUGAGUUUCUGCCUGCCACAUAAAAUCCAUUAUGUUGCAACAAGCUUUAUACCCCCAGAAGCAAUUGAGAGGAGUCUAAAAUCUAUCAGGCCUUACCAUGCCUUAUUACUUCUAAAUGAUGAGAAGUCAUUGCUUAAUGAGCUCCCAUUGGACUGCUCCCCUGCCCUGGUGAGAGUAAUUAAAACUACCUCUGCUGUGAAGAAUUUGCAGCAACUGGCUCAAGAUGCUGACUUGGCAUUGCUACAGGUUUUCCAGCUUGCUGCACAUCUUGUUUACUGGGGAAAAGCAAUUAUUAUUUAUCCACUGUGUGAAAACAAUGUCUACAUGCUUUCUCCAAAUGCCAGCGUGUGUCUUUACUCUCCGUUGGCGGAUGCGUUUUCUUGUCAGUUCCGGGGCCACAAUCUGCCGUCGAUGCUUUCCAAGUUCUCCCUCCCAGUUUCACUCUCGGAGUUCAAGAAUCCUCUAGCACCACCAGUUCAGGAGACUCAGCUCAUUCAGAUGGUGAUAUGGAUGCUUCAACAUCGGCUCCUUAUUCAGCUUCACACUUACGUCUGUCUGAUGGUGCCACCAAACGAGGAAGAUUUCCGAGCCCAAGAUGAAGACAUGCCCUUUACUGCCAGAGUUGGAGGCCGAAGUCUAAGCACCCCCAAUGCUCUCAGCUUUGGUUCUCCAACUAGUAGUGAUGACAUGACUCUGACAAGCCCUAGCAUGGAUAAUUCCAGUGCUGAGUUGAUACCUGGUGGGGACUCACCACUAAAUAAAAGGAUGACAGAGAAUCUGCUAGCAAGUUUGUUGGAACAUGAGCGGGAAGCUAUCCUUAAUGUCCCUGCUGCCCAAAAUCCAGAAGAUCUCCGCAUGUUUGCAAGUGGUUUAUGGAGCUGCCACACCAGCCACACCACCACACUGCUGGUAGAGGAGCAGCUCUUGUGACUUCAGAGAGGAGACCAGUGAUGAGCAAUGGAAAGUAGUAAUCUUCCAUCAUUACGUUUGGAUCUGGAAGAGCAGAGCUGGCAACAGACAUAUUUGGGCAGCUUCAGAGGGACACAAAUCCAGCCCCAGGAACUGCCAUCUUAUGUGCUCUUUGGGUCCCACAAACAUCCACUGCUCAACAAGGUGAAGACAGUGCCCUGUCUGUGCUGGAACUGCUGCUGCACUAUUUCCGAGGACGACACCAUUUGGAGGAGAUCAUGUACAAUGAGAACAUGCGUCGCUCGC